rnacentral:rRNA from 1 species
ACGUAGGGGGCAAGCGUUGUUCGGAUUUACUGGGCGUAAAGGGCGCGUAGGCGGCCUUCUAAGUCGGACGUGAAAUCCCCGGGCUCAACCCGGGAACUGCGUCCGAGACUGGAAGGCUCGAAUCCGGGAGAGGGAUGUGGAAUUCCAGGUGUAGCGGUGAAAUGCGUAGAUAUCAGGAGGAACACCCGAGGCGAAGGCGGCUCUCUGGGUCGUACCUGACGCUGAGGCGCGAAAGCGUGGGGAGCGAACGGGA